UAACUUAUAAAUAUUUAAAGUGAGUUUUUCGUAACUUUUCUACAUAAUUUUACGGUUAUUAUCUAAAUUUUAAAAAAUUAUUUACUUAUUAUCUCCAAGAUUAUAAGAGAUUUUUUAAUGCUAUAUACUUAGAGCCAAAAAAAAAAAAAAAACUGAGAGAAAACUUAAAAGGGAAAAGAACAAAAGCUGGAAACUUAAAGCGCCAAAAAUUUCAGCAAAAAGAAAGAGGGAACCUUUUCAACUUAGGUUUUUCCACUUCUUUUUCCGCAAAAACCUUUCCACUCUUCUUUUUCACUGAUCCAUUCCAUUUUCACGAAAAGAAGUGAAAAAAGACAAGACUACGAACAGAGGGAAGCUAAGAUUGAAGUUGCAACAUAUUCAAUUGGUAUUUAGAAGCUUUUCUUUAGAUCUUCCCCCAAACCCCUUUCUAUCAAUCCACACCAGACUAUGACGAGCUCAAAAAAGGGUCAAAAACCUGGCUGACUUGGGACAGAUUACUGGAAGGAGCUUAAUCAAUAUUGGGCUACGCCAGAGUUUCAAAAGAAGAGCGCCAAGACAAAGGCAGCACGAAAGUCUAAGAAGGGUGGCUCAUUACACCCUUGUGGUUCAGUGUCCAUGGGGACUGCUCGGAGAAAAUUGGAAGUUUCUCUUGAUAGACCACCCACCCGUCAUGAGGUAUGGAAGAAGACCUAUACGAAAAUCGAAGACGGAAAAGAAGUUUGGGUCGAGCCAUGGGCAGAGGAUACCUAUGAGGUACUUCCUAGAUUAUCUCCUCAUCUUGGUGUUGAGGCAAACUAGAGCAAUGCUUGAUUUUUGAAUCGAUAUAAUCUGGAGAGGAUGUAGAGGUGAGGUGAUCAGAAGCAUGGAGACGAUGAGGAUCAGGAGAAUAGAGAGCAUCGAGAGGCAAAAAUGGAGUAUUGGGUGUCAAUUGUUAUUUUUUUUUCUGACUUCUGUUAUUUUGGAUUGUUUGAAGUCUAGUGGGAUGCUUUUGAUAUAUGUUUGCAUAACGUCGAAGUUGGUUGGAUAUGUACGAUGUUUGUUGGCUUAAUUUUAAUGCUUGAAUCAUUUCAGGGUAUUUUUA